rnacentral:sRNA from 1 species
UAUAUUGCUUGCUUGACUUACAGAUAAAU